CCAACACCAAUAAUAGAGCGCGAUGGAAGGACGCUUAGGGCUAAACGAGGCAACUGAUGGAAUAGUUGUUCGAAGGGUGUAGAUUAGAUUACAGGCAAAUCCGUAAUCUUUUAUUCGAGACCUGACAGGCACUUGAUACUCUUCGGAGUGGAUGGUGAAUCGUUGAUGCCGUCGAGCCAAGAAAAGUUUCUAAGUAUAUCUGUUAUUGCUCGUACCGUAAACCGACACAGGUGGGUGAGAUGAGUAUUCUAAGGCGCGUGGAAGAAAUCUGGUUAAGGAACUCUGCAAAAUAGCACCGUAUCUUCGGUAUAAGGUGUGCCUCCUUCUGUAUAUGGACUUGCUCCAAAAAGCGGAAGAGGUUGCAACAAAAGAGUCCCUCCCGACUGUUUACCAAAAACACAGCACUCUGCUAACUCGUAAGAGGAUGUAUAGG
rnacentral:rRNA from 1 species